CUAUUAUUCUUUAUUUUAAAAAUUUUUAUAUAUUUAAGUAGUGUGGAUAAAUAUUUAAUAUUUAAAAUUAUAUUUGAAACUUAAAAAGCUUGGCGGUGUUAUAUAUCCAUUUAGGGGAGCUUGUUUAUUAAUUUGAUAAUCCUCAAUAAACUCUUACUUUUUCUUGAAUAUUGACAGUUUGUAUAUUGCUGUCAUCAGUUUAUUUCGUGAGAAUUAGGUUAAAAAACUUAAAAGCUUAUAUGCUUAAAUGUCAAGUCAAAAUGCAGCUUAUGGAAAAGGUUUAAAAUUAUACAAAUGAGCUACAAUUUAUUAAUUUAAUUGGAUUAGAUUUUGUAAAAGAUUUAUAAAUUUGGACUUAAUAGUAAUAUAAAAAUAAUUAGUAUGUUUAUAUGAAUAAGGUUUUAUAACGCGU
rnacentral:rRNA from 1 species